AUUUUAUUAAUACUUUUGGAUAAAGGUUACUAACAAUGGAAGUAUUUUACUUAUUUUUAAAAAAUAUUUUUAGGAUAUUUUAACAACAGAUUUUUUUGGCAUGUUUCAUUAAAAUAUUGGAUAUUUUAGUCUUACUAUAUUUUAUUAAUGUGCAUACAGUUAAUUUGUUAGGAUUUAGUUAAUUUUUGGACAUUUUUGUUAAAAGUUGUGGGGAUAUUAUGUUUAGGACAGUUUAAUAAUAGCAAAUUUAAAAAAAAAUAAAUAAAUUCAGAAUCAGCUUUAAUGGCCAAAAACGUACACAACAGGUUUCGGCUGUUGGUGUCACUCUAGGAAUAAGUAAAAAGAGAAUAAUACAAUGACUAUAGAAAGAAGAAAAGUGAUUGUAAAAGAAAAACUAAAUAUAUGCAUAUGUUUACACAUCUAGAAAAGAACAUAUGUACACAGUAUUGCAAAAUGACAAUUGUAGAGUGAGAAAACAGUGCAAAAAGCAGAGAACAGAUAAUGUACAUAUCCACUGGUAUAUUGUACAGGUGUGGAGGAAUGACUCAGCUGUUUAUUGGAGUGAUGGCAGUGAGGAAGAAGCUGUUCUUAUGUCUGGAGGUUUUAGUGUUCGUGGCUCUGUAGCGCCUGCUGGAGGUGAAGGGGGAGAACAGUUUUUAUCCAGGGUUGUGGGGUCUCUGAUGAUGUUCCCUCUUCCUGGUUCUAGUGGAGAACAGUUCCAGGCUCCAAUGAUGUUCUAUGCAGUCUGUUUCUGUCCUGCUGUGGCUGAUCCAGAUGUGCACAGGACAGAUUGGAUGACAGCCGUGUAGAACUGGAUCAGCAGCUCCUGUUGCAGUAAAAACGUCCUCUGCUGAACCUUUUUCAGGAUGGAGCGGAUGUUCGUCUCCCACUUCAGGUCCUGAGGGAUUGUAGUCCCCAGGAGCUUGGAGGACGCCACAACAGGGCUGUUGCUAAUAGUGACGAGGCUGUCUCCUGAAGUCCUCUAUCAUCUCCAAGUUGUUCUGGCUGCAGCAGAUCAUCAGACGCUCAACUUCCUGCCGAUAUGCAGACUGGUCACCGUCCUGGAUCAGGCCAGUGACAGUUGUGUCGUCUGCAAACUUCAGGCGUUUAACUGCUGGGUGCUUGGAGGUGCAGUCGUUGGAGGGAGAAGAGAUGUGGAGACAGGAUACACCUCUGGGGGGCGCCGUGCUGACAGUCCAGGUGGUUGAGGUGACGUCUCCCAGCCUCAGGCACAUGGAUGGAGACACAUUGAGGGUCAUCUAGAUGUUGCAGGAUGUAGUGCUGCCUCAGACUGUCUGCAUCAUCUAACGACCUGUUGGCCAAAAAAAAAGUUGCCACCUGGAUUUGGUAAGCAAAUAGGUAAGAGCCUUCCAUUGGAUAAGUACUGCAGUGAUGAAUACGUUUCAGCUACACCAAUUUAAUUAACCCUAGCUGAUGCAGUGAGGAGCUUCUCAUUUCUUAAAUAACAGUGUUGGAAGCACUGUUCCCUCUAAGCUGUGCGCGUGCGCAAUUGCGCACUGCUGACACGGUGUCCGCACAGAAAAUCUGCGCUGCGCACACACACAAAAAAAAUCCAACCUAAAUUGUAAAUAAAAUAAACAUGUAACAAUUCAUUCUGUGCUAUUUUUCAGUGUGAGUCAGUGAGUGACCGGUGACUGGCUGCUGCAGCCAAUGAUGCGAUUCACAUACGUAUUUACCAUAGACUGUAUAUAAUGGUAUUUACGCAGCUAAUCAACGUCAUUGACAGGCGUCCUUAUGUGCAGCCAUCGUUGUUGUCAUAGAUAUGAAUGAGUAGAUAGGACACGCCCCUUUGAGCUGCGGCUACAGCGAGGCUAAGCUAGUGGGGGCAAAGUUUCAGUGCAUUCGUUGAUGUAGACGGCGUGGAAACGGAAACAACAAGUAUGCUGGCUCACUGUGCUGCAUACAGUUACACACUGCGUCAUACGAUUGAGACAAGGAAACUUGGAGUGACUUUUCAUAGGUUUCCCAGAGACUAUGGGUUGAGGAGGAAUUGGAAGUUUGUCGGCUUAGACCUGGUGUCAUUCCAUCAGUGUUUAACUUCCCGGCUCAUCUUGGAAGAGUCCCUCUCUAUCUCCCCACACAUCCACCAACCACUGGAACACAUCUCCAAAGUUCUGCCUGACCAGCUCAGCUUCCCCUCAGAAGAAGUUCCACCAGAUGAAGGAGCCUUUUGAGAGGCAGCUGGCAUCGUGAUUGGACUGUACUUUGGUCUGUUCCAAUCCAGCUUCAGCUCCAGAGACGGCAGGCGGGACGAGUCAACGGAGGCCUGGUGGACGAAGGCAUGAAGCUGAGUACAAUCCAGAAAACAAUAGAGGAGGAGUGCAUCAGCCCAGGGCCAGAACAAACAGAGUAGCAUCAUAUGUCUCUUAGAAAACAUCAUAGUAUAGCCUUUGGUAUGAAAAAAACGCCAUAAUAUACAUCGUAUGUUGUACAAAUAACAAGUCAAAGGAAAGAGACAACAACUGUAGAAUUGUAGUAAUUGUGGG
ensembl:lncRNA